ACUCAAAUGAAUUGACGGGGGCCCGCACAAGCGGCGGAGCAUGCGGAUUAAUUCGAUGCAACGCGAAGAACCUUACCAAGGCUUGACAUAUACGAGAACGCACUGGAGACAGUGAACUCUUUGGACACUCGUAAACAGGUGGUGCAUGGUUGUCGUCAGCUCGUGUCGUGAGAUGUUGGGUUAAGUCCCGCAACGAGCGCAACCCUCGUCCUAUGUUGCCAGCACGUAAUGGUGGGAACUCAUGGGAUACUGCCGGGGUCAACUCGGAGGAAGGUGGGGAUGAGGUCAAAUCAUCAUGCCCCUUAUGUCUUGGGCUUCACGCAUGCUACAAUGGCCGGUACAAUGGGCUGCAAUACCGUAAGGUGGAGCGAAUCCCAAAAAGCCGGUCUCAGUUCGGAUUGAGGUCUGCAACUCGACCUCAUGAAGUCGGAGUCGCUAGUAAUCGCAGAUCAGCAACGCUGCGGUGAAUACGUUCCCGGGCCUUGUACACACCGCCCGU
rnacentral:rRNA from 1 species